rnacentral:rRNA from 1 species
UGGGGAAUUUUGGACAAUGGGCGCAAGCCUGAUCCAGCCAUGCCGCGUGCGGGAAGAAGGCCUUCGGGUUGUAAACCGCUUUUGUCAGGGAAGAAAUCUUCUGAGUUAAUACCUCGGGAGGAUGACGGUACCUGAAGAAUAAGCACCGGCUAACUACGUGCCAGCAGCCGCGGUAAUACGUAGGGUGCAAGCGUUAAUCGGAAUUACUGGGCGUAAAGCGUGCGCAGGCGGUUUUGUAAGACAGAGGUGAAAUCCCCGGGCUCAACCUGGGAACUGCCUUUGUGACUGCAAGGCUUGAGUGCGGCAGAGAGGGAUGGAAUUCCGCGUGUAGCAGUGAAAUGCGUAGAUAUGCGGAGGAACACCGAUGGCGAAGGCAAUCCCCUGGGCCUGCACUGACGCUCAUGCACGAAAGCGUGGGGAGCAAACAGGAUUAGAUACCCUGGUAGUCCACGCCCUAAAACGAUGUCAACUGGUUGUUGGGAAGGUUCCUUCUCAGUAACGUAGCUAACGCGUGAAGUUGACCGCCUGGGGAGUACGGCCGCAAGGUUGAAACUUAAAUGAAUUGACGGGGUCAUAGCUGUUUCCUG